rnacentral:rRNA from 1 species
AGUGAACGCUGGCGGUGGGCCUAACACAUGCAAGUCGAACGGCAGCACAGUAAGAGCUUGCUCUUACGGGUGGCGAGUGGCGGACGGGUGAGGAAUACAUCGGAAUCUACUUUUUCGUGGGGGAUAACGUAGGGAAACUUACGCUAAUACCGCAUACGACCUACGGGUGAAAGCAGGGGAUCUUCGGACCUUGUGCGAUUGAAUGAGCCGAUGUCGGAUUAGCUAGUUGGCGGGGUAAAGGCCCACCAAGGCGACGAUCCGUAGCUGGUCUGAGAGGAUGAUCAGCCACACUGGAACUGAGACACGGUCCAGACUCCUACGGGAGGCAGCAGUGGGGAAUAUUGGACAAUGGGCGCAAGCCUGAUCCAGCCAUACCGCGUGGGUGAAGAAGGCCUUCGGGUUGUAAAGCCCUUUUGUUGGGAAAGAAAAGCAGCAGGUUAAUACCCCGCUGUUCUGACGGUACCCAAAGAAUAAGCACCGGCUAACUUCGUG